GGAGAGCGGAGGAAAGACGUGUGCUUCUGUCUGCUCUCCUGCCCCAUAUCACUGUUCCAUAUUACUGUGUGAGCAUCUCUCCGGGUGCUGUGGGCUGCAAGACCAGCGCCAGGAACUGGGCCUCGGACACCGUCCACUUUUCACGCAACCGAAAGCUAAAGUCCCUCAAAGCAAGGGGUCUGUUGGGAAGAUGAGUGGCAUUGGCUGGCAGACACUGUCCCUAUCUCUGGCGUUAGUGUUGUCGAUCUUGAACCAGGUGGCGCCUCAGGCGUGCCCGGCCCAGUGCUCCUGUUCAGGCAGCACAGUGGACUGUCAUGGGCUGGCACUGCGCAGUGUGCCCAGGAAUAUCCCCCGCAACACGGAGAGACUG
rnacentral:lncRNA from 1 species